GAAGCGUCGUCAAUCAUCCUCGUCGAAUUUUUGGCCGUUUUGCAGGUAAGCUUAUUGGCAUCACAAAUGUUGAUGUAAGCUACCUAGUACAUUGCUACGCUCGUUGGCGUAGUUUUACUAGUAGUUGUGGAGCUGGUACGCCAGCUUGAUGACGUCAUCGCUGAGACCUCCUCGCACUCGUCGCUGAGGUCCAUCAGCUCUCGGAGGUCAACCUCUUCGCGCCUUGGAGUCCUCUGCUGCAUUGGCUCACCUGCAUUCAUGACUUGUUUUUGUUUGUUUGAGUUCAAUAAAGUAAUAACUAUAGUCAUAA